GAUGAACGCUGGCGGCGUGCCUAAUACAUGCAAGUCGAGCGAAUGGAUUAAGAGCUUGCUCUUAUGAAGUUAGCGGCGGACGGGUGAGUAACACGUGGGUAACCUGCCCAUAAGACUGGGAUAACUCCGGGAAGCCGGGGCUAAUACCGGAUAACAUUUUGAACCGCAUGGUUCGAAAUUGAAAGGCGGCCUCGGCUGUCACUUAUGGAUGGACCCGCGUCGCAUUAGCUAGUUGGUGAGGUAACGGCUCACCAAGGCAACGAUGCGUAGCCGACCUGAGAGGGUGAGCGGCCACACUGGGACUGAGACACGGCCAAGACUCCUACGGGAGGCAGCAGUAGGGAAUCUUCCGCAAUGGACGAAAGUCUGACGGAGCAACGCCGCGUGAGUGAUGAAGGCUUUCGGGUCGUAAAGCUCUGUUGUUAGGGAAGAACAAGUGCUAGUUGAAUAAGCUGGCACCUUGACGGUACCUAACCAGAAAGCCACGGCUAACUACGUGCCAGCAGCCGCAGUAA
rnacentral:rRNA from 1 species